rnacentral:rRNA from 1 species
CCCGGGGGGCAGCAGUGGGGAAUAUUGCACAAUGGGGGAAACCCUGAUGCAGCGACGCCGCGUGAGUGAAGAAGUAAUUCGUUAUGUAAAGCUCUAUCAGCAGGGAAGAAAAUGACGGUACCUGAGUAAGAAGCCCCGGCUAACUACGUGCCAGCAGCCGCGGUAAUACGUAGGGGCAAGCGUUAUCCGGAUUUACUGGGUGUAAAGGGAGCGUAGACGGCAGUGCAAGUCUGGAGUGAAAGGGGGGGGCUCAACCCCCGGACUGCUCUGGAAACUGUACGGCUGGAGGGCAGGAGAGGUAGGUGGAAUUCCGAGGGUAGGGGUGAAAUGCGUAGAUAUUAGGAGGAACACCAGUGGAGAAGGUGGCUAACUGGACGGUAACUGACGUUGAGGCUCGAAAGCGUGGGGAGCAAACAGGAUUAGAUACCCUUGUAGUC